UUUUGGACAAUGGGCGCAAGCCUGAUCCAGCCAUUCCGCGUGAGUGAAGAAGGCCUUCGGGUUGUAAAGCUCUUUCGCCCGGGAAGAAAGAUUACUCUCUAACAUAGAGUGAUUAUGACGGUACCUUGAUAAGAAGCACCGGCUAACUACGUGCCAGCAGCCGCGGUAAUACGUAGGGUGCGAGCGUUAAUCGGAAUUACUGGGCGUAAAGCGUGCGCAGGCUGUUUUGUAAGUCAGAUGUGAAAUCCCUGAGCUCAACUUAGGAACUGCGUUUGAAACUACAAGACUAGAAUAUGUCAGAGGGGGGUAGAAUUCCACGUGUAGCAGUGAAAUGCGUAGAGAUGGGAGGAAUACCAAGGCGAAGGCAGCCCCCUGGAUAAUAUUGACGCUCAUGCACGAAG
rnacentral:rRNA from 1 species